CCUUACCUACGGGAGGCAGCAGUGGGGAAUGUUGCACAAUGGGGGAAACCCUGAUGCAGCAACGCCGCGUGAGUGAAGAAGUCAUUCGUGAUGUAAAGCUCUAUCAGCAGGGAAGAAAAUGACGGUACCUGAGUAAGAAGCCUCGGCUAACUACGUGCCAGCAGCCGCGGUAAUACGUAGGGGGCAAGCGUUAUCCGGAUUUACUGGGUGUAAAGGGAGCGUAGACGGCCAGACAAGUCUGAAGUGAAAAUCCAGCGCUUAACGUUGGAAGUGCUUUGGAAACUGCCGGGAUAGAGUUCAGGAGG
rnacentral:rRNA from 1 species